UACGUAGGGUGCGAGCGUUAAUCGGAAUUACUGGGCGUAAAGCGUGCGCAGGCGGUUUUGUAAGUCAGAUGUGAAAUCCCCGGGCUUAACCUGGGAAUGGCAUUUGGGACUGCAAGGCUGGAGUGUGGCAGAGGAGACUGGAAUUCCCGGUGUAGCAGUGAAAUGCGUAGAUAUCGGGAGGAAUACCGAUGGCGAAGGCAGGUCUCUGGGCUGACACUGACGCUCAUGCACGAAAGCGUGGGGAGCAAACAGG
rnacentral:rRNA from 1 species